rnacentral:rRNA from 1 species
AUGAAGCUCGCGUGCUUCGGCGGCGCGGCGGCCGUGGCCGACGAGGCAGUGGCCGCGACGACUCACCGGACUCCUCGCCGCCGGUGGCGGUUCUUCUUCGGUAGCAAGGGCGAGAAGUCGCCGUCGACGGGGACGAAGAGGAUCACGUCGCCGGGCCGCCGGGAAAAAGACUUGAGUAUAUACGACAUGAUCGCUGCCGGCGCGGGGAAGUCGUCGUCCUCGUCCGUGACGUCCUCGUCGGCGCUCAGCACCGCGGCGUCGCUGGACUCGGCCUACUCGUCCUCCUCCUCCUCCCGGUCCUGCUCCCGGUCCUCCUCCUCCUCCUCUUUGUGCUUGGAAGUGGUGCCAACUCCGGCGAAGAAGCGGCCGGACGAGAAGAGGUCGCCCGCGGUCGGCGUGGCGGCGGUGCUGGUGUGCCUCUUGAUGAUGAUGUUCUGCGGCCGGCUCGCGGCCACGCUGCUUACCACCGCGGUGCUCUGCUUCUUCCCGCGAACAUGGCCGCCUGCCAGGGCCAAGGCGGCCGACAGCCUGCUGGUUGCGUCGUCGCCGGAGCACAGCGCGGCGUCGAGGAGACAAGUGGAGACAAUCAAGACGAAGGCGGUUAUGGAUGGGUUCCUUGCGAGGAACCGCAAGAAGUGA